rnacentral:snoRNA from 1 species
UCCCCGUGGUGCUGGAUGUUGUUGUGCAGAUACAGCUCUCCAAUGCAUGGCUGUGGGCCAGAGCAAUCCUGUGGUUUAUGUGUGGGGGCCGCUUCUCCUCAGCAGGCCCACAGCCCGGCCACUGGCAUGUGG